UUAUCAUUACAACAAAUAUUGGGGUUGUGUCACCUGGUGUGUUUUGUUGUCAAAACAGGUCCCUUAUCCCUAGCAGCUAACCCUCUGGAUCCUGAGUACCAGACAAGGCAGGAGGGAAGAAGGCACGGCUCAGGUUUCAACCACCCCAGGCCACAACCGCUUUUUGGAUCCCACUGACAUUGUCUGAUGAUUCGGCUCAAGAAGACUUCAGUGGAGAGAGGAGUUAGAAGGCGUGUGGAGGUUUUGGAAAGAAUUAGACUGCUACGAGGUGCUUUAAGAAAAGAAGAAGACUGCUGCUCCAGCAGAGUGGAACAAAUUCUUCCCUGAAGUUGCAAACUCCUACACAGUCAGCAGAACAAAUUCCUUUUCCCGCAGCCUUGUGCAAAGACUCAUAGUCAUAUUGCAACAAUUCAUUUGUUUAGUAUUGUGUCAUGCUUUGAAUAACUUUAAUAAAGGUCAUAGAAUAAUUAAGUAAUGUUCAUCCCUGCAGAAGGUGGUAGCAUUUUUCAAACAUGCAUUCAAUACUGUUUACUGUGCUGCUGUUUGGGAAGGGACAUUUUUCCUGCCCUGAAGAAGUUUACACUCUAAUAACCUGUAAAAUAAUUUCUCUUCUGAGGUUCUAGAAUGGUUCUUAAUACAUAACGUUGAAGUUUUUAGGAAAUAGGAACCCAGGAUACACAGCCUGGUUGUAUCACGGAGCACCUCUGGAUCUAUUUACUCAGAUGCUAAACUGAUGCGUCUAUGUGAUGAAGCUUGGUAAAACAAAUAUUUUUCAGGGACAAGUUAAAGCCGGAGCAGCUGUCCUUGAGAGUGAAUCGAAGCUCCUAAAAUGGGAAAAACAGGAGAGUCACAGCAGCGGAACAUCGGGAACAUGCAGUACGUCCCCGGAACAAGUGAGAGAACAGCUUGGAAAAUACUGAUAGGAGCAGGAUCGUCUGGAAUGCUGUAAUGUUAGAAGUCUGCGGAGAAGGGCAGGACAGUUGAACCUACCAGCUCCACCCAAAUCCUCACAUUUCUCAACGGCCAAAGGACUCUCUGAUGCAUCCCUGAGGAAACUGCCUACCAUACGGGGGCGGUCCGGCGAGGACCGAGGAGGGAGGGGAGUGUUCAGACAUGGCCUUUCUGGGGAAUCCGUUGACAUUCUCCGGUUUCCACUUGUGGGGAUCAGCUGCAAAGAUGCCCAGGGCAGAACGACCCUCUCCCCAAGGCCCCUGUUGGGAAAUACAAAAAACUGGAAGAUGAUAAUAACAAUACUAAAGUACUUGCUAUGUGCCAAGCACUGUACUUAAACUCUGGGGUAGAUACGAGUUAAUCGGAUCAGACACAGUCCCUGCCUAGCACGGGACUCACAACUUGAAGGAGAUGUUUAUGAAUCUAGAUGUGUACACCCGAAUGGAGAACUAAAAUAACCUUCGCAGAACUAAAACAAACUUUUACAAUAAACAACCCCCAAAACUA